UAAAGAAUUUCGGUAUGGGAUGGGGAUGCGUUCCAUUAGUUAGUUGGCGGGGUAACGGCCCACCAAGACAACGAUGGAUAGGGGUUCUGAGAGGAAGGUCCCCCACAUUGGAACUGAGACACGGUCCAAACUCCUACGGGAGGCAGCAGUGAGGAAUAUUGGUCAAUGGACGAGAGUCUGAACCAGCCAAGUAGCGUGAAGGAUGACUGCCCUAUGGGUUGUAAACUUCUUUUAUAUGGGAAUAAAAUGUUCCACGUGUGGGAUUUUGUAUGUACCAUAUGAAUAAGGAUCGGCUAACUCCGUGCCAGCAGCCGCGGUAAUACGGAGGAUCCGAGCGUUAUCCGGAUUUAUUGGGUUUAAAGGGAGCGUAGGUGGAUUGUUAAGUCAGUUGUGAAAGUUUGCGGCUCAACCGUAAAAUUGCAGUUGAAACUGGCAGUCUUGAGUACAGUAGAGGUGGGCGGAAUUCGUGGUGUAGCGGUGAAAUGCUUAGAUAUCACGAAGAACUCCGAUUGCGAAGGCAGCUCACUGGACUGCAACUGACACUGAGGCUCGAAAGUGU
rnacentral:rRNA from 1 species